UACGGAGGGGGCUAGCGUUGUUCGGAAUUACUGGCGUAAAGGCGUGCGCAGGCGGUGAUGUAAGACAGGUGUGAAAUCCCCGGGCUUAACCUGGGAACUGCAUUUGUGACUGCAUCGCUGGAGUGCGGCAGAGGGGGAUGGAAUUCCGCGUGUAGCAGUGAAAUGCGUAGAUAUGCGGAGGAACACCGAUGGCGAAGGCAAUCCCCUGGGCCUGCACUGACGCUCAUGCACGAAAGCGUGGGGAGCAAACAGG
rnacentral:rRNA from 1 species